rnacentral:rRNA from 1 species
AGGACGAACGCUGGCGGCGUGCUUAACACAUGCAAGUGGAGCGACGAACCAGGGCUUGCCCUGGGGCAGAGCCGCGAACGGGUGAGUAACACGUGGGUUACCUGCCUCGAUGACCGGGACAACCCGAGGAAACUCGGGCUAAUACCGGAUGUGCCCGCAAGGGGAAAGGAAGCUUCGGCCUCCGCAUUGAGAUGGGCCCGCGGCCCAUUAGCUUGUUGGUGAGGUAACGGCUCACCAAAGGCUUCGAUGGGUAGCUGGUCUGAGAGGACGAUCAGCCACACUGGGACUGAGACACGGCCCAGACUCCUACGGGAGGCAGCAGUGGGGAAUCUUGCGCAAUGCGCGAAAAGCGUGACGCAGCAACGCCGCGUGGGGGAAGAAGGCUUUCGGGUUGUAAACCCUUUCAGUUGGGACGAAGCUUCUCCGGUGAAUAGCCGGAUGGAGUGACGGUACCUUCACAAGAAGCACCGGCUAACUACGCGCCAGCAGCCGCGGU